AAAUAGCCCCGAUGGAAGUGGCAUCCUUUUUAUUACGUCAUUGAGGCUCUCGAAAUGACCCAUAAAAAGAUACAACGAACAGCGGGAUUAGCU
rnacentral:sRNA from 1 species